GCCACUUUAGCUCAGCAGGCAGAGCAGUCGCCUUGUAAGCGAAAGGUCGUAGGUUCGAUUCCUAUAAGUGGCACCA
rnacentral:tRNA from 4 species